UGGGGGGUGAGUUGGUGUUGUAUCAAAAAUAAGUUCUUUUUGCAAUCUUGAAAACAAAGUAUAAAACUUUUUAAACUUUCUUGAAAUGCAAGCAAUCAGAAUAUUUAUGCAGCGGAAAAUACGUAGUUGACUGCGUGAAAUAUAGAGUCGACUGGAAUGUAAAAGAUAAGGGAUAGAGAAAUGAAAACACAGGUUUUUAUACUGGUUCGGCCAACAAUGCCUAACCAGUCAAAUGUGUAAAACAUUUUAGUCGACAUCAACCAUGAAAAACAUUUUGAAACUCUUUUCUUCUCAAAAAUACACAUAAC
rnacentral:lncRNA from 1 species